UACAGAGGGUGCAAGCGUUAAUCGGAAUUACUGGGCGUAAAGCGCAUGUAGGUGGGUUUAUAAGUUUGAUGUGAAAGCCCUGGGCUUAACCUGGGAAUGGCGUUGAAGACUGUAGAUCUAGAGUUUGACAGAGGGUCGUGGAAUUUCCGGUGUAGUGGUGGAAUGCGUAGAUAUCGGGAGGAACACCAGUGGCGAAGGCGGCUUCCUGGACCUGUUCUGACGCUGAGGAGCGAAAGCGUGGGGAGCGAGUCGG
rnacentral:rRNA from 1 species